rnacentral:lncRNA from 1 species
AGGAACCUGAGGCAAAAGAGGAUCGUUUGAAUAAGGACCAGAAGAUAACUGUUGACUCCACUCAAAUGCAGUACAAAGAAAGCACUAGGCGGAGUGCUCUGGAGGUCUCACCAGUGAUGGAGCUGGAAAACUUUUCCUCCAUGGAUGUCAGCGUGUGUCAUGCAGGAGGAUGUGAGAAGGAACCCACUGUAUCCAUCCUUCUGCCUCCUGCUUCAUCACUGCUGGAGUCACUGUACAGACAGUAGCCUCACAAGCCAGAGGGGAAAUCUGUGGCCUACAGCCUGUCCUUCUAAUGUCUCCCUAUGGCUGAGUUUGAGAGCAGCAAUGUGGCAGAUAAAAAAUUGCUGGAUAAGUGUUGCUCUGCAGUCCCUUCUGAGUCUGCUGCCAGGUGAUUUAAAAAGAAACAAGAGAGGAAGAAAGAAAGAAAGAAAGAAAGAAAGAAAGAAAGAAAGAAAGCUGUCAAGAACACAGACCAAUUGCAGUUCUCCCACAAGAAGUAAGAUGUCUUCUUUUGAGUUUCCCAGCAGAACCGUUGUCUCAUAUCA